rnacentral:rRNA from 1 species
AGAGUGAACGCUGGCGGUAGGCCUAACACAUGCAAGUCGAACGGCAGCACGGUAAGAGCUUGCUCUUAUGGGUGGCGAGUGGCGGACGGGUGAGGAAUACAUCGGAAUCUACCUUUUGGUGGGGGAUAACGUAGGGAAACUUACGCUAAUACCGCAUACGCCCUUCGGGGGAAAGCCGGGGACCAGCAAUGGCCUGGCGCUGAUAGAUGAGCCGAUGUCGGAUUAGCUAGUUGGUGAGGUAAUGGCUCACCAAGGCGACGAUCCGUAGCUGGUCUGAGAGGAUGAUCAGCCACACUGGAACUGAGACACGGUCCAGACUCCGUACGGGAGCAGCAGUGGGAAUAUUGGACAA